rfam:Oryza glumipatula chromosome 12, whole genome shotgun sequence.
GAUUUCAACUAAAAAAGUCAUCAACAACAAUGUUGUAUAACUCAUCAAGAUAUAUAUAACUUUUAUUUUGGCCAUUUCUUCUUCCGACAAAGUGAUAAUAACAUUGUUCACAAAAUUCACAUAUCUCUCAUCUAGUUUUAUAAACUAUAACACAGAUAUGUAAUUUUUGUGAACAAUAUUACUAACACUUUGUCGGAUGAAGAAAUGACCAUAAUAAAAGUUAUAGAUCUUGAUGAGUUAUACAACUUUGUUGUUGAUGACUUUUUCAGUUGAAAUC